AUGUGUGGGGUGUCACACUCCCCAGACAGGGAGGGAAUUCUUUUUGGUAAAUGCCAUCUCAUUUACCAUGUCCUGCCCCAUUUGCUUUCCUUUGCAGUAGAAGAUGCCUCAAGCCAAAAGGAGGAAGGAGAGGUGGCAUCUCCAGACCUGGCCAAGGCAAACCUCAGGGUGUGUGAAGACCCACCCCCACUGAAAGGGCCAGAUGUCAUCAUGCCUAUCCUCAAGGAUGAUGGGUCCUACAUGCUCUGUGGAUUUUGGGCAGAUGAUGAUGCUGAAGCUCCAAUCUGGGCCUGUGUUGGGGCCUGGCAUCCUACAAUCCAGCAGCCCAUCUGCUGUACUGAGGCCAUUGUGGGGUGUGUGGAGACCCACCCCCACUGGAAGGGCCAGAUGCCAUCGUGCCUAUCCUCAAGGAUGACGGAUCCUACCUGCUCUGUGGAUACUGGGCUGAUGAGCCUGAAGCACCAGUCCAGGCCUGGGCUGGAGCCUGGCACUUUACAACCCAGCAGCCCAUCUUCUGUGCUGAGGACACUUUGGUGGAAGAGCCCUCAUUUCAAGAGGAGGAAGGUGUGGUGGCACCUGCAGACCAGGCCGAGGCUAAUCAGAGCCUCUGCUCUGCAUCACACCUCAGGGUGUGUGAAGAUCCACCCCCACUGGAAGGGCCAGAUGUCAUUGUGCCUAUUCUCAAGGAUGAUGGAUCCUACAUGCUCUGUGCAGUUUGGAUGGAUGAUCCUGAAGUGCCGGUCCAGGCCUGGGCUAGGGCCUGGCACCCUACAACCCAGCAACCCAUCUGCUGUGCUGAGGCCAUUGUGGUGAAAGAUGCCACCUACCAAAAAGAGAAAGUCAUGUUGGCAACUGCUGAUUGGGCUGAGGCUACCUCCAGGGUGGGUGGAGAUCCACCACCACUGGAAAGGCCAGAUGCCAUUGUGCCCAUCCUCAAGGAUGAUGGAUCCUACAUGCUCUGUGCAUAUUGGGCUGAUGAGCCUGAAGCCCCAGUCCAGGCCUGGGCUGGGGCCCUGCACCCUACAGCCCAGCAGCCCAUCUGCUGUGCGGAGGCCAUUGUGGUUUCCCUCCUUGCAGUGGAAGAUGCCUCCAGCCAGAAGGAGAAAAUAGAGGUGGCAUCUGCAGAGCAGACUGCAGUGGAAGAGCCCUCAUCACAAGAGGAGGAAGGGAAGGUGGCACGUGCAGACCAGGCUGAGGCUAAUCAGAGGGUGUGUGGAGAUCCACCCCCACUGGAAGGGCCAGAUGCCAUUGUGCCUAUCCUCAAGGAUGACGGAUCCUACCUGCUCUGUGGAUACUGGGCUGAUGAGCCUGAAGCACCAGCCCAGGUCUGGGCUGAGGCCUGGCAUGCAAAAACCCAGCAGCCCAUCUGCUGUGCUGAGGCUUUUUGGGUGAGUCCUUAGAUGUGAAUCUUGCUGCAGACCUGUCAAAGUGCCCGAGUGGACUCCUAUGACCCAGGCCUGCUUGCUGUUACUCCCCAGGGAAAGGUGGUGAUGUGGCAGGCUGUCCCCUGGGCUAUAUCUGGAUGGACAGAGGCAGAACCCAUGGUGGAGUUUGCAGCACAGUUGUAGUGUGGCUGGUGUGUCUUAGCCUCAUAGUCCCAGGAUAUGCCCCCCUUUCUGACACUGACACUGGCCUUGUUGUGCCUGAAGCACAUG
ensembl:lncRNA